GAAACCUAGCCCAAUUAUGAGGUGACUAUAUAAGCAUAACUAUUAUGAGAAAUUAGGUUAAGCCACUCAUUAUUUCAUUUCACAAAAACAUAAGAGGUAGAUAGAGAAAGUGGAUCAAGAGGAAAGAAGAGGAAGCUAGAUGUAGAGCUUGGGGUUUGAAGAGCUAGGAGAUAAAUUGAAGCCAUUGCUAUGAUCUUUGAAGUUAGAGCUUUCUGCUCCACCUAUCCUUGCUGCCGCCGCUGACAACUGGUGCAUCUACAUCAUGUUUAUAUUUUAUUCUCUUGAUUCCUAUAGAUCUUGUUUUUUUUUAUUUCUUUUUUUCUUCUUCUGUUGUCCUUUUGUUACUUUCCUUAUCCCUUUAUAUGAUAUGUACAUCAUCCAGAUUUUAUACUUUUGUUCAUUGAACCGAUUUUGUCUUUUUGUUCUUUA